AGCCCGGUGGUGUAGCGGUCAAUUAUUCGGCUAUACGCAAUAGCCGUAUUAGACGAUGCAUAGAGGCCUCUGGAGCCUUAGACCCUGGUUCGAAUCCGGGCCGGGCUA
rnacentral:tRNA from 1 species